rnacentral:rRNA from 1 species
CAGCGUNGUCCGGAUUUAUUGGGCGUUAGAGCGCGCGCAGGCGGCUAUGUAAGUCUGGUGUUAAAGCCCGGGGCUCAACCCCGGUUCGCAUCGGAAACUGUGUAGCUUGAGUGCAGAAGAGGAAAGCGGUAUUCCACGUGUAGCGGUGAAAUGCGUAGAGAUGUGGAGGAACACCAGUGGCGAAGGCGGCUUUCUGGUCUGUAACUGACGCUGAGGCGCGAAAGCGUGGGGAGCAAACAGGAUUAGAUACCCUGGUAGUCCACGCCGUAAACGAUGAGUGCUAGGUGUUGGGGGUUUCAAUACCCUCAGUGCCGCAGCUAACGCAAUAAGCACUCCGCCUGGGGAGUACGCUCGCAAGAGUGAACUCAAAAGAAUGACCGGGGGCCGCACAAGCGGUGGA